rnacentral:rRNA from 1 species
CAAUAGCGUAUAUUAAAGUUGUUUCGGUUAAAAGCUCGUAGUUGGAUUUCUGCUUAGGACAGCCGGUCCGCACUACGUGCGUGUAUCUGGUUUGGCCUGGGCAUCCUCUCGGAAGACAGUCCUGUGCUUGAUUGCAUGGGCUGGAGUCCGGGACUUUUACUUUGAGGAAAUUAGAGUGUUCACGGCAGGCAAUCGCCCUGAAUAUAUUAGCAUGGAAUAAUAAUAUAGGAUCUGAUGCCUAUUUUGUUGGUUUCUAGGUGUUAGAUAAUGAUUAAUAGGGACAAUUGGGGGCAUUCGUAUUAUGGCGUCAGAGGUGGAAUUCUUGGAUUGCCAUACGACGAACUACUGCGAAAGCAUUUGCCAAGGAUGUUUUCAUUGAUCAAGAACGAAAGUAAGGGGAUCGAAGAUGAUCAGAUACCAU